GACGAACGCUGGCGGCGUGCUUAACACAUGCAAGUCGAACGAAGUGGCGAACGGGUGAGUAACGCGUAAUCAACCUGCCCAUCAGAGGGGGACAACAGUAGGAAACGACUGCUAAUACCGCAUACGGAAGGAGGGGAUUGCGUCUGAUUAGCUAGUGGGGGGGGUAACGGCCCACCAAGGCGAUGAUCAGUAGCCGGUCUGAGAGGAGGGAUGGCCACAUGGGGACUGAGAAACGGCCCAGACUCCUACGGGAGGCAGCAGGGGGGAAUAUUCCGCAAUGGACGGAAGUCUGAAGGAGCAAAGCCGCGUGAGUGAGGACGGCCUUCGGGUUGGAAAGAUCUGUUAAUCGGGACGCGGUACCGGAAUAGAAAGCCACGGCUAACUACGUGCCAGCAGCCGCGGUAAUAC
rnacentral:rRNA from 1 species